rnacentral:rRNA from 1 species
GCACGAGCGCACCCUUGCCCUAUGUUGCCAGCGGAUAAUGCCGGGGACUCAUGGGGAACUGCCGGUGAUAAACCGGAGGAAGGUGGGGACGACGUCAAGUCAUCAUGGCCCUUACGCCCAGGGCUACACACGUGCUACAAUGGCCGGUACAAAGGGCUGCCAACCCGCGAGGGUGAGCGAAUCCCAAAAAGCCGGUCUAAGUUCGGAUUGUAGUCUGCAACUCGACUGCAUGAAGUCGGAAUCGCUAGUAAUCGUGUAUCAGCAACGAUACGGUGAAUACGUUCCCGGGCCUUGUACACACCGCCCGUCAAGCCAUGGAAGCCGGGAGUGCCCGUAGUCUGUGACCCAACCUAGUGAGGGAGCAGCCGAAGGUAAGUUCGGUGACUGGGGCUAAGUCGUAACAAGGUAGCCGUAGGGGAACCUGCGGCUGGAUCACCUCCUUU